GUGGCUUAAAACAGCAACUGUGGAUUAUUCCUCAUGAUUCUGAGAAUUGGCAGAGCUCAGCUGAGAGGUUGAUCUCUGUCUGCUCCACUCUGAUGUUGGUGGGAGUGAUUCACGUGGCUUCAUCUGGCUCGGACCUCUGCCGGAACUGAAGCAUUCUCUCUCACAUGGAGGACAGCUGGACCUCUCUUUCUCUCCACCUCUUUCCCUCUGGCUCCCUUUACACGUUGGCUCAGGAAUCCAGAAAAGGAAAGCUGAUGGUUUGCCAAAAGAAAAUGAAUUCCAAACUCUUGGGUCUGAACUGGGUUCAAGCAUCAGAUCCAGGGGAGCCCGGGGGAGGCUGCUUAGUCAGUCAGGAUGCUUGAAUGUCCUCUGCAGAAGCCAGGUGAGUCCAAGCAAAGUGGGGCACCUCCCCCGCUUUCCUUUCUCGCGUGUGUUCAUGUGUGUGCACAUUUGUGCAUUCUACCAC
rnacentral:lncRNA from 13 species